rfam:Candidatus Kaiserbacteria bacterium RIFCSPLOWO2_01_FTLL_54_13 rifcsplowo2_01_scaffold_2999, whole genome shotgun sequence.
GCGCCCAUAGCUCAAUGGUAGAGCAUUCGUCUUAUACACGAAGUACCUAGGUUCGAUUCCUAGUGGGCGUA